AGCCCACUGAGCUGGGCAUUUGUCUACGACUGAAAAUCGGAAGGUCGGCGGUUCGACCCCGCCCCUGGCCA
rnacentral:tRNA from 1 species